CAUUCCAACGACUCAUCCAAACAAGGCAUCAGAAAUCCACUGCACAAGGACUUGCAGGUUUCUUCCCAAAGAGUCCCUGAGCCGGAGUGGUCAAUAAGCAUGUUCUAUAAGCCAGACAAUGUUCUGCCUUUAUUACUUAUUGGCUAUUCUUGUGUGAUGAGAAGACUGAGGACCAGGAGGACCAGGAACUUAACCUAACAGGUCACCUUAGGUCUGUUCUUGAAUCCAUCUGAGACGGGGUAGGCAAAGGAGUGAGAUGAAGCAGCUGUUGGGCAGACCCUAG
rnacentral:lncRNA from 1 species